rnacentral:rRNA from 1 species
UACAGAGGUCUCAAGCGUUGUUCGGAUUCACUGGGCGUAAAGGGUGCGUAGGUGGCACGGUAAGUCAGAUGUGAAAGCCCGGGGCUCAACCCCGGAAUGGCAUCCGAUACUGCUGAGCUGGAGGACUGGAGGGGAGACUAGAAUUCUCGGUGUAGCAGUGAAAUGCGUAGAUAUGAAGAGGAACACCAGUGGCGAAGGCGGGUCACUGGACAAUUACUGACACUGAGGCACGAAGGCCAGGGGAGCAAAC